ACAGUUACAGACCUGUAUAGCUUUCUCAGAUGGUCCAAGUUCAUUAAAUCAAGUGCCAUUAUCAGAAUGCUUUAGGCAGAGAGCAAAUUCUACAUUCAUAUUGUGAAAGUUUUGGCUUUAAUCACUCGUGAAACGCAAUAGGAAAGCCGUUGAUGUUGCCUAUAAUUUGUGGCUACUAGACUUGCUCUAAUUUCCAUAUAGGUAAGGUAACUUUUGAUACCGUAGCAUGUAUGUUUACACUUUCAGAUUUAAGUACUUCAUAAAAUUGUACUAUUCUUAGCUAUUAUGCUUUAUAUGUGAAUUAAAGCUCAAUUUUAUAGCACACUGUACUAUUACCAAGAUAUAUUUUGUUAUGUGAGUUUAUCUACUAAGAUUGAGGAAAACCAAAACAAGGAUGGUUUCGCAUGAUUAUUAUGGAGUGUAUUUGGUAGCUACAACAUGGUAUAACUUUGUUUUUUUCUUUACUUAUGUGUCUUUGUAAUUGAAUAUGAUGUAUUACAGAUUGAUGCAUUUAUAAGAAAAGAUGCAAAUUUAUGUAAAAGCAAUGCCAAGAACAAACUAAAAGUUUGAGAAAGGAAAACAUGUUACCUAGGUUGAGUGCAUUUCAAACAUGAGUUACUCUUGCAGACGGAUGUACAAAAAAUGGUCAUUAAUGUUGCUAGGCUGAUGAAGAAUUAGAAGUUCAUUGAUAACUUCUGAUUAAAAGGUUCCAAAUUAAGCACCAUGUUGAGCCAAGUAUAUCGUAUGUCUGAUUAUAUCAAUCGUCAUUAAUGUUGCUAGGCUGAUCAAGCAUUAGAAGUUCAUUGAUAACUUACGUCUGAUUAUAUAUUCUCCAGUAUUUCGGGAGAAUUCUAAAUUGUUUUUAUUUGUUGAUUUUGGUAGAAACUAAUAUUCAUCAAGGAGAAGUUCAAAAAGAGCCCCAUGAUUGAGGGCAAGAAGCUCUUUGAAGAACAUACGAAGGAGUGGAUGUUUCCGGCAAUGCCCCAUUUUUGCCAUACUCUAUAUGACUCUUAAUUGGACUAUGUGAUUUCUGCAUUCAUGCUGCAUUAAAGUGCAAACAUUGAUAGCACCGUGAUACAUCUGUUUGAUCUUGUGGCAUAAGAUGGUGCGUAGGCAAAGAGCAAACGAACAUAUGCUUAGGUUUGAUGUUGCAAGUGUAUUAAAGGAAGUACUGGAAAAGAAAAUAUUUCAACUCUAGAUAAGUGUGGAGAGGUAAAUUACAAUGUUCUUUAUCAAGGAUAUUGUUAAUUAGUCUUUCA